rnacentral:rRNA from 1 species
GGGUUGUGAGGUUAAGCGACUAAGCGUACACGGUGGAUGCCCUGGCAGUCAGAGGCGAUGAAGGACGUGUAAUCUGCGAAAAGCGCCGGCGAGGUGAUAUGAACCCUUUGACCCGGCGAUGUCCGAAUGGGAAACCCAGUGCAAUCCGUUGCACUAUCGUUAACUGAAUACAUAGGUUAACGAGGGCGAACCGGGGGAACUGAAACAUCUAAGUACCCCGAGGAAAAGAAAUCAACCGAGAUUCCCCAGUAGCGGCGAGCGAACGGGGAGCAGCCCGGAGUCUGAAUCAGCUUGUGUGUUAGUGGAACGGUCUGGAAAGUCCGACGGUACAGGGUGAUAGUCCUGUACACGAAAGCACACAUGCUGUGAACUCGAAGAGUAGGGCGGGACACGUGGUAUCCUGUCUGAAUAUGGGGGACCAUCCUCCAAGGCUAAAUACUCCUGACUGACCGAUAGUGAACCAGUACCGUGAGGGAAAGGCGAAAAGAACCCCGGCGAGGGGAGUGAAAAAGAACCUGAAACCGUGUACGUACAAGCAGUGGGAGCCUCUUUAUGGGGUGACUGCGUACCUUUUUGUAUAAUGGGUCAGCGACUUAUAUUCUGUAGCAAGGUUAACCGUAUAGGGAGCCGAAGGGAAACCGAGUCUUAACUGGGCGUUAAGUUGCAGGGUAUAGACCCGAAACCCGGUGAUCAGCCAUGGGCAGGUUGAAGGUUGGGUAACACUAACUGGAGGACCGAACCGACUAAUGUUGAAAAAUUAGCGGAUGACCUGUGGCUGGGGGUGAAAGGCCAAUCAAACCGGGAGAUAGCUGGUUCUCCCCGAAAGCUAUUUAGGUAGCGCCUGUGAACUCAUCUUCGGGGGUAGAGCACUGUUUCGGCUAGGGGCCAUCCCGGCUUACCAACCCGAUGCAAACUACGAAUACCGAAGAAUGUUAUCACGGGAGACACACGGCGGGUGCUAACGUCCGUCGUGAAGAGGGGAAACAACCCAGACCGCCAGCUAAGGUCCCAAAGUCAUGGUUAAGUGGGAAACGAUGCGGAAGGCACAGACAGCCGUGAUGUUGGCUUAGAAGCAGCCAUCAUUUAAAGAAAGCGUAAUAGCUCACUGGUCGAGUCGGCCUGCGCGGAAGAUGUAACGGGGCUAAACCAUGCACCGAAGCUGCGGCAGCGACGCUUAUGCGUUGUUGGGUAGGGAGCGUUCUGUAAGCCGUUGAAGGUGUCCUGUGAGGGGUGCUGGAGGUAUCAGAAGUGCGAAUGCUGACAUAAGUAACGAUAAAGCGGGUGAAAAGCCCGCUCGCCGGAAGACCAAGGGUUCCUGUCCAACGUUAAUCGGGGCAGGGUGAGUCGACCCCUAAGGCGAGGCCGAAAGGCGUAGUCGAUGGGAAACAGGUUAAUAUUCCUGUACUUGGUGUUACUGCGAAGGGGGACGGAGAAGGUUAUGUCAGCCGGGCGACGGUUGUCCCGGUUUAAGCAUGUAGGCGGGUUCCGUGUAAAUCCGGUACCUUAUUAACACUGAGGUGUGAUGACGAGGCACUACGGUGCUGAAGUGAUAAAUGCCCUGCUUCCGGAAAGCCUCUAAGCAUCAGGUAACACGAAAUCGUACCCCAAACCGACACAGGUGGUCAGGUAGAGAAUACCAAGGCGCUUGAGAGAACUCGGGUGAAGGAACUAGGCAAAUGGUGCCGUAACUUCGGGAGAAGGCACGCUGAUAUGUAGGUGAAGUCCCUGCGGACGGAGCUGAAAUCAGUCGAAGAUACCAGCUGGCUGCAACUGUUUAUUAAAACACAGCACUGUGCAAACACGAAAGUGGACGUAUACGGUGUGACGCCUGCCCGGUGCCGGAAGGUUAAUUGAUGGGGUUAGCGGCAACGCGAAGCUCUUGAUCGAAGCCCCGGUAAACGGCGGCCGUAACUAUAACGGUCCUAAGGUAGCGAAAUUCCUUGUCGGGUAAGUUCCGACCUGCACGAAUGGCGUAAUGAUGGCCGAGCUGUCUCCACCCGAGACUCAGUGAAAUUGAACUCGCUGUGAAGAUGCAGUGUACCCGCGGCAAGACGGAAAGACCCCGUGAACCUUUACUAUAGCUUGACACUGAACACUGGUCCUUGAUGUGUAGGAUAGGUGGGAGGCUUUGAAGCGUGGACGCCAGUCUGCGUGGAGCCAACCUUGAAAUACCACCCUUUAAUGGCUGGUGUUCUAACGUAGAACCCGUAAUCCGGGUUGUGGACAGUGUCUGGUGGGUAGUUUGACUGGGGCGGUCUCCUCCCAAAGAGUAACGGAGGAGCACGAAGGUUGGCUAAUCUCGGGUCGGACAUCAGGAGGUUAGUGCAAUGGCAUAAGCCAGCUUGACUGCGAGCGUGACGGCGCGAGCAGGUGCGAAAGCAGGUCAUAGUGAUCCGGUGGUUCUGAAUGGAAGGGCCAUCGCUCAACGGAUAAAGGUACUCCGGGGAUAACAGGCUGAUACCGCCCAAGAGUUCAUAUCGACGGCGGUGUUUGGCACCCGAUGUCGGCUCAUCACAUCCUGGGGCUGAAGUAGGUCCCAAGGGUAGGGCUGUUCGCCAUUUAAAGUGGUACGCGAGCUGGGUUUGUAAACGUCGUGAGACAGUUCGGUCCCUAUUCGCCGUGGGCGCUGGAGAAUUGAGGGGGCUGCUCCUAGUACGAGAGGACCGAGUGGACGCAUCACUGGUGUUCGGGUUGUCAUGCCAAUGGCACUGCCCGGUAGCUAAAUGCGGAAGAGAUAAGUGCUGAAAGCAUCUAAGCACGAAACUUGCCCCGAGAUGAGUUCUCCCUGACUCCUUGAGAGUCCUGAAGGAACGUUGAAGACGACGACGUUGAUAGGCCGGGUGUGUAAGCGCAGCGAUGCGUUGAGCUAACCGGUACUAAUGAACCGUGAGGCUUAACCUUACAACGCCGAAGCUGUU